UCGGAGUCGAUGCUAUUAAAUAAUCAAGUGGAUUUCUCUACGAUUCGUGUCUUCAUACACGAAGUCGUUUAGUAAAGACCUAUUCCGCGGUACUUUUGUCAAGUCGAUCUCUUGAAGAACAAAUUGGGGUUUGACGAAGCAUUCAACUACAAAGAAGAGCAACACUAUAAUGCAGCGUUGAAGAGGUACUUCCCCGAUGGCAUAGAUAUCUACUUUGAGAACGUGGGAGGGAAGAUGCUCGAAGCGGUGCUAAACAACAUGAGACACCACGGCCAUGUUGCGCUUUGUGGGAUGGUAUCCCAAUGCAGCCUUGAGCAGCCCGAAGGCGUCCACAACUUGCAUAACCUAUUGACAAAACGGAUCCGUAUAGAAGGAUUUUACGCUAGCGACCACUACCAUCUCUACCCGAAGUUCUUGUAGAUGGUUGUGCCUCUAAUAAAUGAAGAGAAGAUCACAUACGUCGAAGACAUUGCCGAAGGCAUUGAAAGCGCACCUGGGGCUCUUGUUGACUUAUACUCCGGUCGCAACGUCGGGAAGCAGGUGGUGGUGGUUGCUCGUGAGUAAUUCUGUUUUUCGCAGAGUGAAUCAUCGGAAAUAAGGAAUGAUUUAAAUAAGGUUAUAAUCAUGAAUUAUAAAUAUAUAAUCAUGAAUUUUAUGUAUUGUUAUUAAUUGAAACAUGAAGGACUUAAAUAAGGUAAACAUGAAGGACUUAAAUAAGGUUAAUCAUCCCAAAUAACACAAUCUGUACUGCAAUUGUAUUGAUUUUCAAACUAUUGCACAAAUUAAGACACAUCACCUCCAA